rnacentral:rRNA from 1 species
GAUGAACGCUGGCGGCGUGCCUAAUACAUGCAAGUCGAGCGAACAGACGAGGAGCUUGCUCCUCUGACGUUAGCGGCGGACGGGUGAGUAACACGUGGAUAACCUACCUAUAAGACUGGGAUAACUUCGGGAAACCGGAGCUAAUACCGGAUAAUAUAUUGAACCGCAUGGUUCAAUAGUGAAAGACGGUUUUUGCUGUCACUUAUAGAUGGAUCCGCGCCGCAUUAGCUAGUUGGUAAGGUAACGGCUUACCAAGGCAACGAUGCGUAGCCGACCUGAGAGGGUGAUCGGCCACACUGGAACUGAGACACGGUCCAGACUCCUACGGGAGGCAGCAGUAGGGAAUCUUCCGCAAUGGGCGAAAGCCUGACGGAGCAACGCCGCGUGAGUGAUGAAGGUCUUCGGAUCGUAAAACUCUGUUAUUAGGGAAGAACAAAUGUGUAAGUAACUAUGCACGUCUUGACGGUACCUAAUCAGAAAGCCACGGCUAACUACGUG